AACGAACGCUGGCGGCAUGCCUAACACAUGCAAGUCGAACGAGACCUUCGGGUCUAGUGGCGCACGGGUGCGUAACGCGUGGGAACCUGCCCUUAGGUUCGGAAUAACUCCCCGAAAGGGGUGCUAAUACCGGAUAAUGUCUUCGGACCAAAGAUUUAUCGCCUUUGGAUGGGCCCGCGUUGGAUUAGCUAGUUGGUAGGGUAAAAGCCUACCAAGGCGACGAUCCAUAGCUGGUCUGAGAGGAUGAUCAGCCACACUGGGACUGAGACACGGCCCAGACUCCUACGGGAGGCAGCAGUAAUGAAUAUUGGACAAUGGGCGAAAGCCUGAUCCAGCAAUGCCGCGUGAGUGAUGAAGGCCUUAGGGUUGUAAAGCUCUUUUACCCGGGAUGAUAAUGACAGUACCGGGAGAAUAAGCUCCGGCUAACUCCGUG
rnacentral:rRNA from 1 species